UGGCGGCGUCUUACACAUGCAGUCGAGCGAACAAGCGAUGUGAAGCCUUCGGGUGGAUCAUCGCGGCGUGAGCGGCGGACGGGUGAGUAACACGUGGGUAACCUGCCCUGUACACCGGGAUAACGCACCGAAAGGUGUGCUAAUACCGGAUAAUGUGAACCUUUCGCAUGGAAGGAUCACCAAAGCUCCGGCAGUACAGGAUGGACCCGCGUCCCAUUAGCUAGUUGGUGAGGUAACGGCUCACCAAGGCGACGAUGGGUAGCCGACCUGAGAGGGUGAUCGGCCACACUGGAACUGAGACACGGUCCAGACUCCUACGGGAGGCAGCAGUGGGGAAUAUUGCACAAUGGGCGAAAGCCUGAUGCAGCAACGCCGCGUGAGCGAUGAAGGCCUUCGGGUCGUAAAGCUCUGUCCUAAGGGAAGAUAAUGACGGUACCUUAGGAGGAAGCCCCGGCUAACUACGUGCCAGCAGCCGCGGUAAUACGUAGGGGGCAAGCGUUAUCCGGAAUCACUGGGCGUAAAGGGUGCGUAGGCGGCUGAUAAAGUCCGAGGUGAAAGGCUACGGCUUAACCGUAGUAAGCCUUGGAAACUUAUCAGCUUGAGUACAGGAGAGGAAAGUGGAAUUCCUAGUGUAGCGGUGAAAUGCGUANAUAUUAGGAGGAACACCAGUGGCGAAGGCGACUUUCUGGACUGUUACUGACGCUGAGGCACGAAAGCGUGGGGAGCGAACAGGAUUAGAUACCCUGGUAGUCCACGCCGUAAACGAUGAGUGCUAGGUGUCGGGGGUCGAACCUCGGUGCCGCAGCUAACGCAUUAAGCACUCCGCCUGGGGAGUUACGUUCGCAAGAAUAAAACUCAAAGGAAUUGACGGGGACCCGCACAAGCAGCGGAGCAUGUGGUUUAAUUCGAAGCAACGCGAANAACCUUACCUGGACUUGACAUCCCCUUUGA
rnacentral:rRNA from 2 species